UUAACCGGAUUAGAUACCCUGGUAGUCCACGCCGUAAACGAUGUCGACUUGGAGGUUGUGCCCUUGAGGCGUGGCUUCCGGAGCUAACGCGUUAAGUCGACCGCCUGGGGAGUACGGCCGCAAGGUUAAAACUCAAAUGAAUUGACGGGGGCCCGCACAAGCGGUGGAGCAUGUGGUUUAAUCCGAUGCAACGCGAAGAACCUUACCUGGUCUUGACAUCCACGGAAGUUUUCAGAGAUGAGAAUGUGCCUUCGGGAACCGUGAGACAGGUGCUGCAUGGCUGUCGUCAGCUCGUGUUGUGAAAUGUUGGGUUAAGUCCCGCAACGAGCGCAACCCUUAUCCUUUGUUGCCAGCGGUCCGGCCGGGAACUCAAAGGAGACUGCCAGUGAUAAACUGGAGGAAGGUGGGGAUGACGUCAAGUCAUCAUGGCCCUUACGACCAGGGCUACACACGUGCUACAAUGGCGCAUACAAAGAGAAGCGACCUCGCGAGAGCAAGCGGACCUCAUAAAGUGCGUCGUAGUCCGGAUUGGAGUCUGCAACUCGACUCCAUGAAGUCGGAAUCGC
rnacentral:rRNA from 1 species